AUUGCACGCUGGCGGCCGGCCUAACACAUGCAAGUCGAACGAGUGGCGGACGGGUGAGUAAUGUCUGGGAAACUGCCCGAUGGAGGGGGAUAACUACUGGAAACGGUAGCUAAUACCGCGUACCAUCGGAUGUGCCCAGGUGGGAUUAGCUUGUAGGUGAGGUAACGGCUCACCUCGGCGACGAUCCCUAGCUGGUCUGAGAGGAUGACCAGGCACACGGGAACUGAUACACGGUCCAGAAUCCUAGGGUAGGCAGCAGUGGGGAAUAUGGCAAAAUGGGGGCAAGCCUGAUACAGCCAGGCCGGGUGUAUGAGGAAGGCCUUCGGGUUGUAAAGUACUUUCAGCGAGGAGGCGUUACCCGCAGAAGAAGCACCGGCUAACUCCGUGCCAGCAGCCGCGGGAAUAC
rnacentral:rRNA from 1 species